rnacentral:tmRNA from 1 species
GGGGGUGACCGGUUUUGACAGCGGGUAGAAGUAAUGUGUAAGCAUGCAGAGAGACGUCACCUAUCUCUUUAAUCCACGAUGGCAAAAUUUUAAUUGGCGAAUCAAAUUACGCUCUUGCUGCUUAAUCGAAGUAUAGUAGAUAUAGCUUAAUCUCUUCCACAAUUGGUAGAGACAAGACAUCACCCGGAUGCUGUUGUUCCGAAGCGGUCCGAUCCGGUGGUGCUGGAAUAUCGGAAAUAGUUGUUACAGGCUUCGCUGUAAUGAUGAAAAUUUAGAAGAUAAGGUUUACAUUGGUGGUUUCGGUCUUGUGUAAACACGAAAAUUUAGGCGGAAAUAAGCAUGUAGAAAGCUCAUUGGUUCCCUGUUUGGACGGGAGUUCGACUCUCCCCACUUCCAC